GUAGUCCACGCCGUAAACGAUGGAUGCUAGCUGUCGGAAGUAUCGACCCUUUCGGUAGCGAAGCUAACGCGUUAAGCAUCCCGCCUGGGGAGUACGGCCGCAAGGCUAAAACUCAAAGGAAUUGACGGGGACCCGCACAAGCGGUGGAGCGUGUGGUUUAAUUCGAGGCUACGCGAAGAACCUUACCAAGGUUUGACAUCCCAGGAAGUUUGCCGAAAGGCAGACGUGCCGCAAGGAACCUGGUGACAGGUGAUGCAUGGCCGUCGUCAGCUCGUGUCGUGAGAUGUCAGGUUAAG
rnacentral:rRNA from 1 species